CUUGGGGACUGGUUAGAGGGUGUUCUAACCUGAGCGGACUUGCGACGGACUUUCGGAUUAUCUCCGGCUGAUGCGUGAAGGCUUUUAGAAGCUUAACUUGAGCAGAGUUGGGGCUCCGUUGAGCAGAGUUUCGAGACUUCUUUUGGCUGGAUUGAGCUUGGUGAUAGGUGGGUCGGACCUUCCCGAAAUGGGUGAAUUCCCUCUAUGUCUCCUUUGACAUCUGAGUUGAAGUUAUUUCAUAUUCAUGUGAAUAUAUGUAUAGUUUAAGGCAUUGAGACAUGCACUGAUAUGUAGAUCAUAUCGGAAAUGAUAGCAUCUUUAAAUGGUAAUGAAAGAUUCAUGACUUGUCCAUUCUAUAUGGUUACCUGUUAAGUACUAUGGAUUCAUGACACUAGUAGCUUGCACAUGCA